CUGAGAACAAAGGAGCCGUACCAGGAAAGUUGAAGCAUAUCUUCAUUUUCAAGUCCAGGCUAAAAUAAGGUGAGAAAACUUAGAUGAAAAGUAUGCUGAACUAUAAUUUCCCCAUGAAGAAAUGUUCACACGUCCUACUUCCUGUCCUAGCUCCAGAGCCUGAAAAGGUCUGAGGAAAAGAAUGAGCUGCGUGUGAAGGAUAGGAACAGAAAUCAUGAAAGAUCUGUUUGUCCAGGCCAGUGUUUCACCAUAAGAGAUCACUUUAAAAUAAAUGAUGAAAUAAUUCUUUGCAAUUGCAAAUUUACCUUCCUUGCUUACCACAUUGUUAACUGUAGGAGCUGAUACCUGGUUCUUCCACUGUUAACUUGUACUCUGUGUUUGUUCUAGCAAUAAAUGCUCUUUAUGCUA
ensembl:processed_transcript Snhg1 small nucleolar RNA host gene 1